AUUGAACGCUGGCGGCAUGCCUUACACAUGCAAGUCGAACGGUAACGCGGGGCAACCUGGCGACGAGUGGCGAACGGGUGAGUAACGCAUCGGAACGUGCCCAGUAGUGGGGGAUAGCCCGGUGAAAGCCGGAUUAAUACCGCAUACGACCUACGGGUGAAAGGGGGGGAUCGCAAGACCUCUCGCUAUUGGAGCGGCCGAUGUCAGAUUAGGUAGUUGGUGGGGUAAAGGCCUACCAAGCCUGCGAUCUGUAGCUGGUCUGAGAGGACGACCAGCCACACUGGGACUGAGACACGGCCCAGACUCCUACGGGAGGCAGCAGUGGGGAAUUUUGGACAAUGGGCGCAAGCCUGAUCCAGCCAUGCCGCGUGCGGGAAGAAGGCCUUCGGGUUGUAAACCGCUUUUGUCAGGGAAGAAAAGCCUUGGGUUAAUACCCUGGGGUGAUGACGGUACCUGAAGAAUAAGCACCGGCUAACUACGUGCCAGCCGCCGCAGUAA
rnacentral:rRNA from 1 species